GGAAGUGUGGCUGUUACCAGUGAAUCUGAUUAUACACGCAGGCUCCCUGGUCCCAUGUGAGCACUGGGGACAGGGUCUGUUUGUCGGACUCAUCUUGGCAUUCCUGUCUCUCCAUAGUUGAUUCUGAGACCAGCAGAUGGUGGAAGAAAACACAGGAAAGGCCAGAGGUGGGACCACAGUGUCUGUGAGGUGGCCUGCCCAGCAUGAAGACUUAGAGGCAUCAUUCAACUUAAGGACAUCCCUAACUCCUACAUAGCUCCAGGAACCAAAUGCUGGAGUCCGGAGAUGAACAAGAUUCGUAUUUCUUUGCUCCCCUCUGCUUCCAUUCCUUCAGGCCACUCAGCCUCACAGAAGCAGUGAAGGAUCUUUUUAGUGCUCCCGAGAAGCCCCUGAAGAAUGCUGCAGACCCUUUGUGUCAGGGUGGUUAGCACUGAAAACAACCCGCUUGGUUUGCUGUUGCUUGUGGUCUCUGCAGCAUUCACCAACGGCCUGAGGAAGGACAGAGCAACUUGACAAUGUCCUCAUUAGAAGGCACUUAGUUCCUCAUCAGUAAAAACAGGGUGCCAUCUAUCACACCUUCAGAGUGUUCUGGAUGGAUCACACAUUUGUGCAUGUGUGAGUGUGUUUGUCUGUCUCGUGUGUGUGUGUGUGUGUGUGUGUGUGUGUGUGUGUGUGUGUGUGUGUGCUCAAGCACAGGCAUGUUAGGGCAUGCGUGCACACGCUCGUGCACACUUGCGUGCGUGUGCACGUGCGCACACACACACAGAGACACACACAAGGGUGCUCGUGUGCACACACCAUCUUAAACCAAAAUUCCAACUGGCUGAUUCCCAGGCUUACAGUUAGCU
rnacentral:lncRNA from 1 species